GAGAUAUUAGUAUAAUAAUACAUAACUUUGUCAAGGUUAAACUACAGGCGAAACUCCUGUAUAUCUCU
rnacentral:tRNA from 1 species